UACGUAGGGUGCGAGCGUUGUCCGGAAUUAUUGGGCGUAAAGAGCUUGUAGGCGGUUUGUCGCGUCUGCCGUGAAAAUUCGAGGCUCAACCUCGAACUUGCGGUGGGUACGGGCAGACUAGAGUGUGGUAGGGGAGACUGGAAUUCCUGGUGUAGCGGUGAAAUGCGCAGAUAUCAGGAAGAACACCUAUGGCGAAGGCAGCUCUCUGGGACGGUACUGACGCUGAGACGCGAAAGCGUGGGGAGCGAACAGG
rnacentral:rRNA from 1 species